CAGGCCUAACACAUGCAAGUCGAACGGUAACAGGAAGCAGCUUGCUUCUUGCUGACGAGUGGCGGACGGGUGAGUAAUGUCUGGGAAACUGCCUGAUGGAGGGGGAUAACUACUGGAAACGGUAGCUAAUACCGCAUAACGUCGCAAGACCAAAGAGGGGGACCUUCGGGCCUCUUGCCAUCGGAUGUGCCCAGAUGGGAUUAGCUUGUGGUGGGGUAACGGCUCACCAGGCGACGAUCCCUAGCUGGUCUGAGAGGAUGACCAGCCACACUGGAACUGAGACACGGUCCAGACUCCUACGGGAGGCAGCAGUGGGGAAUAUUGCACAAUGGGCGCAAGCCUGAUGCAGCCAUGCCGCGUGUAUGAAGAAGGCCUUCGGGUUGUAAAGUACUUUCAGCGGGGAGGAAGGGAGUAAAGUUAAUACCUUUGCUCAUUGACGUUACCCGCAGAAGAAGCACCGGCUAACUCCGUGCCAGCAGCCGCGGUAAUACGGAGGGUGCAAGCGUUAAUCGGAAUUACUGGGCGUAAAGCGCACGCAGGCGGUUUGUUAAGUCAGAUGUGAAAUCCCCGGGCUCAACCUGGGAACUGCAUCUGAUACUGGCAAGCUUGAGUCUCGUAGAGGGGGGUAGAAUUCCAGGUGUAGCGGUGAAAUGCGUAGAGAUCUGGAGGAAUACCGGUGGCGAAGGCGGCCCCCUGACGAAGA
rnacentral:rRNA from 1 species